rnacentral:tRNA from 1 species
GACGCCUUUGGUCAGCGGUAGACCGAUUUACGCUUCUCUCACGGCGGCAACACCGGUUCGAAUCCGGUAGGGGACGCCA